UACCGAGUUUACAACUCCCAAACCCCUGUGAACAUACCACUUGUUGCCUCGGCGGAUCAGCCCGCUCCCGGUAAAACGGGACGGCCCGCCAGAGGACCCCUAAACUCUGUUUCUAUAUGUAACUUCUGAGUAAAACCAUAAAUAAAUCAAAACUUUCAACAACGGAUCUCUUGGUUCUGGCAUCGAUGAAGAACGCAGCAAAAUGCGAUAAGUAAUGUGAAUUGCAGAAUUCAGUGAAUCAUCGAAUCUUUGAACGCACAUUGCGCCCGCCAGUAUUCUGGCGGGCAUGCCUGUUCGAGCGUCAUUUCAACCCUCAAGCACAGCUUGGUGUUGGGACUCGCGUUAAUUCGCGUUCCUCAAAUUGAUUGGCGGUCACGUCGAGCUUCCAUAGCGUAGUAGUAAAACCCUCGUUACUGGUAAUCGUCGCGGCCACGCCGUUAAACCCCAACUUCUGAAUGUUGACCUCGGAUCAGGUAGGAAUACCCGCUGAACUUAAGCAU
rnacentral:rRNA from 1 species